GGCGGCGGCGGAGGAAAACAGGACACUAUCAUUAUCAAUUCAGGGGGAGGUCAUAGACGAGGAGGCGGAAAUCAUUGGGGCAAUGGAAGAAAGUGGGGCGGUGGUACAAUAUUUGGAGGCGGUCAAAAAUUUGGAGGUCGUCAUAGAUGGUAGACAAAAAGUUUUGAUCCCACCGUCAGUGUCAUUAUGAUGGAACGAUCCACCGACACAGCUUUAUAAUGAAAAUCAUCCACUAUUCAUAGACCACAUUAGUGAUCAAGACAGCGGAAGUAUUAAAAAAAAAAGAAAUGCUGUGACAUGUUUUUUAAUCUAUGUAUUUUCAAUUAAAGACUUUGAUCAAAUA